UUAAGGAAAUGUCUGAGCCACAAUUCAGACAGGCAUGAGUUUCCAUCCAGGCUUGCCACUUAAGUAGCCGUCACUUAGUGACUCAAUCCUCAGACCCUCAGCUUUCUCAUGUAGAACACAGCAAUAGCAACAUCUACUCUUGCAAGUCUGCUUGUGGCUAUUCAUUUAAAUCUGGCUAUUCAUUUAAAUCAGGAACAUAUGUCAAACAAGGCUCUACGGUACAAAAUUGUUCAAUAUAAAUUUAUUAAGAUUUCUUAAGAGAAAGGGUAAAUCCUGCUGUCAAAAAAAAAUCUCCAAAUGGAAUGCGUAAUGUUAACAUUUCAUAAUGUUACUCCAUAUUUUUCCUUCAUAUUGUCACUGAUAUUAACAAACCUAUCCUUGGUAUUGUCAUUUAUUUAUACAGCAAAUAAUUAUCAAGUGUCUCUAUGAACCAGCUGCUAUUCUACACACUGGAAUAACAGCUGAAAACCACACAGACCAAGUUGCUCUCUGAAUCCUACAUCCUAGAAGCCAAUAUUAAACAUUAAGUAAGUAAACAAAAUAAUUUUAGGAGAGAGAACUGUAAAGUGUUGAUUCUAGCUCUGGUGUACCCAUGACUGAUUAUUUGCCUUCCUAAAUAUUCUCUGAGCUACUUUAAUAAAUUCCCUUUCUGCUGAAUCAGCCAGAAUUCAUUCUAUUACUUCAACUAACAAUCCAGCCAAAACAGGGAUGCCUAUUCUCUUGUAACUGACAAAGCCUUUUUCCUUUAGUUCAGAUAACAAAAGCACAUUAGAUUUCAAGCACAUUAGAUAUUUCAGAACUCAACACAUAACAUAUACCAAAAAAUCCAACCCUAAGACAGGUAUGAGAUUAUUUUUGUGUGCUGUAUAUUUUGCUAUAGUUACCAAGACAUGGUUAGCAUUUUGAAUUUUUUUUCUUAGAACAAUACAAUGAUCUAAAUCUAAAAUCUUUCACAAGGUGCAACUUUCCAGUGAUAAACAAGAACAGGAAGUGAAUCUUGAAUACAACCAGACUUCAAGUUCCCUUCACUAUUAAAGUAUCUCCUUUGCUGUCUGUUACCUGAGUCUCACUUAACCAGCGUUAAACUUCCAUCAUUCUAGCCCAACAGUUAUAAAUAUCUUUAUUUCUUUUUGAACAAAACAUAUUUCCUAUUAGACUGGAAAUUUUGACACACUCAAAUGUUUGAAGUCCCAAGAGGAAGACAGCUAAAAUAAAAGGAAUUGAGCAGCAAAGCAACUCAGAAAAGCAGAAAUGAAAACAGAUGUUAAACCUCUUUAAAACAAAUUUUUACUAAUAGCCUCAACCAAAGCUAUUUCAGUCAACUACUAGAAAUAUUCUACCUAGUCAAAAGUUCUCAACAAGCUUCCUAGGUCAUGAGCUCCUCAAGGGUGUGGGCUAACUCUUUCCAGGGUUCUAUCUACCACCCAGCAUCAUGCAUGUCAUGACUCUCCAUCAUGGGUGAUUUUGCCCCCCAAGUGUCAUUUGGCAUUAUCUGGAGACAUUUUUAGUUGUCAUGACUGGGGUAAGACUGGGGAAAGGAGGUUUUGCUAACAGCAUACACUGGGUGGAGGCCAGUGAUGCUGCCAGCCACCCUGCAGUGCACGGGACCGCCCCCACCGCAAAGGGUUAUGCAACUAAAAUGUCAAAAGUGCUGAGGGUGAGGAAACUCUAGCUUAGGUCAAUGAUGCCACUGCCCUUCAUGUUCAAAUACAAAAUCACUUAUCAUGUGGCUUCAUGUAGACUUCUGGCAACAGCUUACACGCCCUUUUAAACUGGAUACAUUAGGUCUGCUCCCUGGUAAGACACUCUGGCCACUGAGACCGCAGUUUGAAAUUCCUGCAGUGUUAAAAGCCUGAGUCUCCUUUCACAAUUAGCCAGCAAUCCAUAAGAAAAUAGCGCUGAAGGUUUCUGAGCCUGUUUCCUCAAAGUAGAUGCGAGUUCUCACCUUCCAGGGCUGUUCUAAGGAGAGAAAGUGGCACACCUGCAGAGUGUCUGGGAUGAGCCUGGCGUGUGCUUGCUGACUACCAAGGUGACAUAGUACCAAGUACAAUGCCGGACACAUGGUAUCCAACACCCAAAUACUGAACUGAGCCCAAAGUGUGAGAACUUUUUGGUUGAGAAAGGAGAUAUCUUGUGAAUAUAAGAAUGAAUGGAUUAUAUGCUUCUCUCUUAGGUAAGAUGCUGGAAAUGAUUUUAUAAGUCCACAUUUCAAUCCUUAAAAAAAAAAA
rnacentral:lncRNA from 1 species